rnacentral:lncRNA from 1 species
CUGACCUUAGUGGGAAUGAGGUAUAUAGCAGUCCUCAGUUUUAGUUAGAAUGAAAAAUAGGCAUUUGUGUCACCUUGGCCAAGCCAUUUACCAUCUCUAGACACCCAUUUUUGACUGUCAUAUGGGGAGAUGGAUCUACAAAUUUGGGCUGGCAUUACUUAAGUCUCUGCUGAAAGCUAUUGGAAUUUCUCCCCAAAUGGGGAGAGGGAGGAUACACAAUCUGCAAAUAAUUUCAAGUGUAUCAUUGUCUCCCCAUUAUGUCCAGAGACCUUCUUACAGAUACAUGAACCCAAUGUUAAGUAUUUCUGCCUUGAAUUUUUUAUUCCUAUUUGUCAUGUGGUAAAAUACAUAUAAAAUUUACUAUCAUAAACAUUUUAAG